rnacentral:lncRNA from 1 species
CUUUUCCCUGGGGUGUUUGAUCUUUUCAUUCGGGUCUCUGAUAUUGGAGUUAUACUUCCAAAAGGGGCCUGUCGAGGGCUGGCAGUAGGUUUGGUAGGUAUGGAGAGCCUUCGUGGAGGUUUUGCUGAUUUCUCUUUUCCAGAAAUAUCAAGAGCACUCACACUCUUGCUUACAACUGAUGGAGGCCUUCCCCUGAAUAAUAUAUUGCAGAAGAAAUGAAUACUUGAAUAGUUGGAAAUGGUAAUGGCAAAAUCAGUCAGUACAGCAUGGAAAAGCCAACAUAUAUAGCACUUGCAGUAUGUUUCUAUUGGAAAAUCUUGCAUAAAAUUGUACAAAGAUAGGACUCACAGGAUAAUAUGAAACUUUCAAAAAGUCUAGGCAUCAAAUUUGAGACAAGAUCACCACCAACAACUCAGAUAGGCAAAUUUAGCUCUAAUUCAUAACCCAAACAUAACUUUAUUAGCAUUAUGUUCAUAAACAGACAACUCAAAAGAAAGGUCCAUACCAACAGACUAAACAUAUACUGCAUUAUAACCACAAAACUAUUAUAACAGCAGUAAAACUUAUGAUGAAAUGAAAACACUCACAAAAACAACUGUGCGCAAGAAAGAACUGUAUUAGAUAAGUUCGACCUUAAAGAGAACCAAUUUUAUCAUUGUUGUCCUUGGCAUCUAGCACAUUUAAUCUUCAAGGGUUCCUUCCAUAAAUAAGCUCGAUCAGAAGCAUAGUUUUGGCUGGCUCAUACAGUUUCCCUUCUUGUGUGAGCAUAUGCGUGUGCGCGCGCAUGUUACUUUUCAGAGAUUAGUAAGUCAAAUGGUUGGUUAUUUUCAUAAGUAAAAUAUGACUACAAUAAAAUGAUACAUGAUCAUAAAUGUAAUUUGCUGGUGACAUAUUCCAGUGACCAUCCAUCUAAAUUGCUGGUGUAAUGUUUCAUACUUUUCAUAGUUUCUCCAAAUGCAGCCCAGAGAAUAAUGUAUGUUUUUUUACACAUGUUACAAUGUAUACAAAAUACAGCAGGCCAUUAAAUCAACACCGGUAAGAAAUCAAAUUAAUGCAAUCAUACAGCAACAUAUCUGAUCAAAGCACUGUUUGUUCCAACCGAAAAACAAACACUAGAUUGCAUGUGACUCGCACACCAGCCCUUUCAUCCAUCUUCUUUCACAUGAAAGUUUAACUACCAAUGCUGUUUCACUCCCUUUUUGCAUGUCAUUCGUGCGUCUAAUGUACAAAAGCCUUUUGUAACUUGAUAAUCCCAUUAUUUUAGAGAUCAUGAUCCUUGGGAUCCUACAUGCAGAUUGUAAUGUUCUCUGAGACUCCUAGGCAAAUGGACUGCCUCAUCCAAAUUGUACUAACUGUAAAUCUUGAUAUUUGUACUGACAAUUUAAGUUUACUAUGAACCUAUAUAAUAAUUUUUGUACUAAUCAGUUUCAUUCGGGUCUCUGAUAUUGGAGUUAUACUUCCAAAAGGGGCCUGUCGAGGGCUGGCAGUAGGUUUGGUAGGUAUGGAGAGCCUUCGUGGAGGUUUUGCUGAUUUCUCUUUUCCAGAAAUAUCAAGAGCACUCACACUCUUGCUUACAACUGAUGGAGGCCUUCCCAACUUGAAGAAAGAAAGAGAGGUAUGGAUGCAGUUAAUAAUUGUUCAAGCACCUUUAAAUCUCUCAUGUUUCACUCCCCUUUAAAAAUUUAAAUAUAUUUGAUUUGGUAUAGUUGUAAUUAUAGUAAAAGUAUGUCUCAUUUGCACUUAUAUAUUUCUAUACUUCCUAAUUAAAUUAUACAAUCCCUAAUUUGUAAUUG